UACGGGGGGGGGCAAGCGUUGUUCGGAAUUACUGGGCGUAACGGGCUCGUAGGCGGCCAACUAAGUCGGACGUGAAAUCCCUCGGCUUAACCGGGGAACUGCGUCCGAUACUGGAUGGCUUGAGUUCGGGAGAGGGAUGCGGAAUUCCAGGUGUAGCGGUGAAAUGCGUAGAUAUCUGGAGGAACACCGGUGGCGAAGGCGGCAUCCUGGACCGACACUGACGCUGAGGAGCGAAAGCCAGGGGAGCAAACGGG
rnacentral:rRNA from 1 species